rnacentral:rRNA from 1 species
GAAGUAAAAGUCGUAACAAGGUCUCCGUUGGUGAACCAGCGGAGGGAUCAUUACCGAGUUUACAACUCCCAAACCCAAUGUGAACGUUACCAAACUGUUGCCUCGGCGGGAUCUCUGCCCCGGGUGCGUCGCAGCCCCGGACCAAGGCGCCCGCCGGAGGACCAACCUAAAACUCUUAUUGUAUACCCCCUCGCGGGUUUUUUUAUAAUCUGAGCCUUCUCGGCGCCUCUCGUAGGCGUUUCGAAAAUGAAUCAAAACUUUCAACAACGGAUCUCUUGGUUCUGGCAUCGAUGAAGAACGCAGCGAAAUGCGAUAAGUAAUGUGAAUUGCAGAAUUCAGUGAAUCAUCGAAUCUUUGAACGCACAUUGCGCCCGCCAGUAUUCUGGCGGGCAUGCCUGUCCGAGCGUCAUUUCAACCCUCGAACCCCUCCGGGGGGUCGGCGUUGGGGAUCGGCCCUCCCUUAGCGGGUGGCCGUCUCCGAAAUACAGUGGCGGUCUCGCCGCAGCCUCUCCUGCGCAGUAGUUUGCACACUCGCAUCGGGAGCGCGGCGCGUCCACAGCCGUUAAACACCCAACUUCUGAAAUGUUGACCUCGGAUCAGGUAGGAAUACCCGCUGAACUUAAGCAUAUCAAUAAGCGGAGGA